rnacentral:rRNA from 1 species
UGGGGAAUUUUGGACAAUGGGCGCAAGCCUGAUCCAGCCAUGCCGCGUGCGGGAAGAAGGCCUUCGGGUUGUAAACCGCUUUGUCAGGAAGGAAAUACUUCUGAGUUAAUACCUCGGGAGGAUGACGGUACCUGAAGAAUAUGCACCGGCUAACUACGUGCCAGCAGCCGCGGUAAUACGUAGGGUGCAAGCGUUAAUCGGAAUUACUGGGCGUAAAGCGUGCGCAGGCGGUUUUGUAAGACAGAGGUGAAAUCCCCGGGCUCAACCUGGGAACUGCCUUUGUGACUGCAAGGCUUGAGUGCGGCAGAGGGGGAUGGAAUUCCGCGUGUAGCAGUGAAAUGCGUAGAUAUGCGGAGGAACACCGAUGGCGAAGGCAAUCCCCUGGGCCUGCACUGACGCUCAUGCACGAAAGCGUGGGGAGCAAACAGGAUUAGAUACCCUGGUAGUCACGCCCUAAACGAUGUCAACUGGUUGUUGGGAAGGUUCCUUCUCAGUAACGUAGCUAACGCGUGAAGUUGACCGCCUGGGGAGUACGGCCGCAAGGUUG